AAUGGUGCGCUGUUGCCAUUUUUGCGCUGCGCAACAGAAUUGCUUGUUUCACUUGUGUUGCAUUAUUUCAGAAUAUUCAAAAAAUAUUGUAAAAUCACGAAUUAUUACAAAAAAUGUGUACUAAACCAAUAAAGGUUGAAAGCUAUUUCAAUCAACCAUCUUCAAAUCACUCUACAGAACAAUCCAACCACCUCAAAACGUUGCACGACAUUUCUUCGUGAUGUCGCAUGCAACAUUUUUUGAAGAAGAAGAGAACAACUUCCCCGGCUGAUGUGCGCCCUUAAGCCGCCCAACACGUCGCGGAAGUAUUAUUUUGUUUGCGGGGGAAAAAUACUGCUGCUAGAGUGCUUGUUUGGUGUGGCCAAAGUAAUUUUAUCGCGGUACAGGUUCCGCGUGCCCUGGGUUCCCGUAAGCCACGGAAUAUUUUCAUCUGACAAUCCAGGCAGAUUCUGAGGAGGAAGAACGAAGUGGCCAGCGGAGUUGUAUAUUUGUUUGAACUGUCUUGACGUUUCGAGCGACGGGGUUGUGCUUUUCGAAGUGUUUCUCAAAUUUCGGUGGCCGGAGGCGUGUUUUCGGACCAACGGGUGUAAUUUAACCGGUUUACUUUCGAUGAUCGUUGACUUAAAACGGCGGGGUCAGAUCGGAUUGAGUGGUUGGAACUGCGGGAACUGGAAGAUGAAGUGUUUCGUCUCGAGUCUCAAAAUCCCGUCACCCUACGCCGCAGUCACGGCGGAGACGGAAGUUGUCAUGGAGGACAAACUUUGAAUAUCUGCCACACCGUCACUCCAGACAAAAAGGUCACAAUCCCCAACAUCAAUCAGUUCCUCAAUUAGCCAGUUAGGUCAUGCCUGCUGGGCUCAACCAUCCGGCCUCGGCUGGUUCCAACACAAGCUGAACGACAAGUAGAUCAGCUUGUGGCCCAAAGAUUAUUACAUCAGUCGAACCGCCGGCGCCGACUUUAUGGAAGGAACGUUUCCUUUGCCUUGGCGGUCUAGGCUUCCCUCUCACUAAGUUCCCCCACAAAUCCCUCUGAAGUUCAGCAGACAGUCGGUGCUGCAAACCGUGGAUACUUCUUCUGCGCUAUUGACAGUAUCACCAGAAUCGGAGGCCAAUGAUCCCAUCGAAGCACCAUUUGCAUUUUAGAUCCUGGAACCAUCCCAGCGGCCAUCAACAUGCUCGCUCUAAACCAGCUGGCUGCUGCGGACAAACCUCCGUUAACCUUUCGACACAUUUUUCACUGACUCACGAAUUGCAGAAUUAGCUUCGACAUGAUUCUGAUCGGUAAGGUUCUUUACCGGAAGUUAGGCGCGAAUCCGAUAAGCUCGAUCGGUGUUGUGCAGCAGGUCAAAAAUCGAUCUACCGGUGGGCCGGAUACGGCUGGAAGAUGAACGCCAAGCAUAUUCCAGGCAACAAGGAUAAUCAGGUGGUGAUUAUCGAGCGAAUCCGCACCGACGCUUCUACGAUGUGCUUUAUCCCCGCAACAAGAUCCCGGCACUUCCGGAACCGGUACAUUCCAAUCUCAUAGCAGAAGCUAUAGUGCAUGUUGGACCUUAUGAACACUGACGUCGCCAUCAUCGGGCCGUCGGUUGUCCUGGUUCAAGGUUCCGGCAGCAGCAAUGAAGCAAACGCUUGUCUAGUAACAGCGCCAGCAUAUCAAACAUCUUUCGAAUAAACUGAAAAAGAUUCCGGAUAUUCUCAUCUUUAGUUGCAAACUAUCGCAAUUUUACAAGGGAAUGAUGGAAAGAGAGGAAUCACAAAUCCGUAUAAAUAAUUUCAAGAUUGUUCAGGUGUAAACCGA
rnacentral:lncRNA from 1 species